rnacentral:tRNA from 1 species
GGUGGCUCAGUGGUAGAGUACUUGUCUCGCAUGCAUGAGGCCCUGAGUUCAAUUCCUCAGUACCA